CAGCUCCUGCCCCCUUAAAGCUGGCUGCGCCAACAGAAACCAGAGGCCCUUCUAUCCUGGUUAAAGAGAAGCUCAACAGAAAGUGAAACGGUCGCAGUUCUUGGGGGAGAAGGCGCCAGUCCAGGAAUGGCUUACGGGACCUGGAAACCCCAGCAGCUGGGUCACUCUUCAGAGAGACACUGCGGGUAGCAUUCAGGGAAAAGGAAGCCACGCCUCGGAGAGGUUCCAGAUCCCCGAGGUCACACAGCUCUGCUGAACUUGGGAGGCCAGGCCCGGUCAUUCUCCAAAAAGCUGCCAAAAGCUUUGCUGCUCUAGUUACUGUGCUCCGAGCCUCGACGUUUCCACCGUGCUCGAAGGAAGCGUUUCGUUCCUAAAAGCCCACGCGUGGAACCAUCGCUCUAGGAUUCUACAUAUUACUACCCUAUACCAUUAUGUUGGGAUUUACUGGAAGGACACAUAAAGGAAGACUUGAGAAAACAGUGCAAAGGACAGGUGCCGAAGAAACUUGAUUACCAGCCCCCAGAGGCACGUGGGCAGCCUCUGAAGAAGCUGUCUUCGGCUGACUCACUUGCAGAUGCCUCCAGCCCCCAUGUGUUUCUGCUCUAAAUUCAAACUUCUGAGAGAGAGAAACUGAUUGGCCUGUCUUGGGUCACGGGCCUACCCCUGACUUGACUUAGGGGGUUGGAUCCGGUGAUUGGAAAGCCCGUCGGAAUCAGAUGAGUUAGGAUCAGUCCCGCAGAGUGCUGUUAGCAGGAGAAAGCAGAGAGCUUGCAAAACAGGGAGGAAAGAUUUUACAAAAAUUCUCCCCAUUUUAUUUUUUUAAAAAAUAUUUUAUUUAUUUAUUUGACAGACAGAGAUCACAAG